rnacentral:lncRNA from 1 species
ACAAAACAAAAAAUUAAAAUCAGUUUUAGCAACUUGUUAAUCAUAAAUUAUUAAUAGAUUAUACCCAGCCUAUUCAAAAGUGGCUCAAACAAUAAUGAUAGACAUGGAUUACAACCUCUAAAUGCUUUAAAAAUGAAAAUAAUAAAAACACACAAAAGUAAUUAGAAUAUUAGGAAAGAAGUCACCGGUAAGUCGUUCUGGAUUUCUCAUUUUAAGUUUUGUCUUCGAAUGAAGUUUCAUGUUUGGAUCUUC